GACGUAGGGGGCCAGCGUUGCUCGGAAUUACUGGGCGUAAAGGGUUCGUAGGCGGUGCGGUAAGUCGAGAGUAAAAUCUCCAGGCUCAACUUGGAGGCGCCUCCCGAAACUGCCGUGCUCGAGUGCUGGAGAGGCGAGUGGAAUUGCAGGUGUAGCGGUGAAAUGCGUAGAUAUCUGCAGGAACACCAGUGGCGAAGGCGGCUCGCUGGACAGCAACUGACGCUGAGGAACGAAAGCUAGGGGAGCAAACAGG
rnacentral:rRNA from 1 species